UACGAAGGGGGCUAGCGUUGUUCGGAAUCACUGGGCGUAAAAGGGCGCGUAGGCGGCGCGACAAGUCAGGCGUGAAAGCCCCGGGCUCAACCCGGGAAUUGCGCUUGAUACUGUCGUUGCUUGAGGCCGGGAGAGGAUGGCGGAAUUCCCAGUGGUAGAGGUGAAAUUCGUAGAUAUUGGGAAGAACACCGGUGGCGAAGGCGGCCAUCUGGACCGGUUCUGACGCUGAGGCGCGAAAGCGUGGGGAGCAAACAGGG
rnacentral:rRNA from 1 species